ACUUUAAGCUCAUCCUUUUUUGUCAUGUUCUAUCACUAUCCAAUAGGAUGCGUCUAUUUUGAUCACGUGAUUUGUACAGCGGUUAACGGUCAGUUUAAUUAGGUAUUAGCUCUGUUGGUAGCCAGCGUUCUGUAAACGAGUAAUAGUGUAGCAGAAAGCUGUUUUUUUAAUGUUAUAAACAUAAAAAUUGCCCUGAGAUAUGUGAUAGAAGACACAAACAGAACAGUUGGAUUGUUUUUGGACUGCAAACCUGGAAAGCAAGAAUGCGGUCAGUGCAUCUCUCAAGCAGAAAAACUGAAGAGGCCAAAGCACCAGCCAAAGGAUUGCCAAGGUGAAUUCUUUCCAGCAGGCAGCUUGGGCUUCCAUGGAUCCCACGGCCACAUGAAGAAGCUUCUGUUAAGACAGUGACGUUUGCAUUCGUACAUCCAUCAUGUUGAUCUACAGGUUCUAGGAAAGGUAGGACUUGUUCAUAACACAAAUCAAAUGUUCAAGCUUCCCGCAGGAACAACGUGGGAGACUGGUUGUGUAAAAAUGUGCAUAUUAAGUCACAGCACAAAAACACGAGUAUCAGAAUAAUGUGAUCUCCAGUUGAUCUGAGGAAUCCUAAGUCUCCUGUGUGAAUAUAUUGUUUUUCUUUUCCAGACCAGCAUCCCAGAGUCACUCAUUGUCCAUAAACGAGGAAAUCCUGAGGCUUAGAAGUCCAUAGAGCUGUUGGCCAAACAGUCUCUGCGGCUGAUGUUGGUAACCUGCUUGGUCUGCAUGGCCUCCAACUUGGGACAUUCUGUGAUGCGAUGACCCAAACCACCACAGAACGCACAGCCUCUCUCUCCUGGGGGAAAAACAGAAAACAAUGAUCCAGCAUGGCGUCAUCCCCUGGCUGGAGCACUUGCAGAACCGGUGGAACUUUCUGCUUGGCUUCGAUCAGCAAGGCCUUCAGAUCCAUCAGCACUGAUUCCUCUGCAACAUUAAGGGCAAAAGAUCAGACUUUACACACACGACAUGGCUAAAUUCCAUGUACAGUUCAUCACAAGUACUUAUGGUAUAUGGGGUUAAAGGCUUGUCAACAUGCAUCUGCAAUUCGGCUAGCAAAAAAUAAAUAUCACAGCAUCAACUCUGGAAUAAGACACUGUAGCUUGUUUGUAAUGCUUUUAUAAAAUCCCAGGUGAUUAGGUUCAGUAGGUCUGCAGUAAGAUAGAUGGUGUUUUACCUUUGCCUCCAUGGAUCGCCACUGCCUCUACACCUUUGAGGAGCAGGUACUCAUGGAUGGCGUCCACAUCUGCUUUCUUCUCAGCAAAGAGCAACACCUGAGAGAGGAUUUUACAAAAUAAGACAUGCCCCCGAUGCAGAGGGCAGUGCGCAGCUGAGGUGCGCCUUCAUCUUCCAGGAGCUUGCUGUAAUACUCGAUGAUGCCGUGUGUCUGUCUCGCCAGCUCCCUCUGCAGGAGAACAAAAGAAUGGCAAGCGCUUUUCCUGCUCCAGACAAAACAUGAUGAUGGGCAGCGUGAACACCAGAGUCUUCCCGGAACCCGUGAAUGCAAUGCCAAUCAUAUCUCUGCCAGAAAGACUACACACAGACAGGAAUAAACCAUUAAUUA